GAUGGACGCUGGCGGCGUGCCUAAUACAUGCAAGUCGAGCGAACAGACGAGGAGCUUGCUCCUCUGACGUUAGCGGCGGACGGGUGAGUAACACGUGGAUAACCUACCUAUAAGACUGGGAUAACUUCGGGAAACCGGAGCUAAUACCGGAUAAUAUAUUGAACCGCAUGGUUCAAUAGUGAAAGACGGUUUUGCUGUCACUUAUAGAUGGAUCCGCGCCGCAUUAGCUAGUUGGUAAGGUAACGGCUUACCAAGGCGACGAUGCGUAGCCGACCUGAGAGGGUGAUCGGCCACACUGGAACUGAGACACGGUCCAGACUCCUACGGGAGGCAGCAGUAGGGAAUCUUCCGCAAAGGGCGAAAGCCUGACGGAGCAACGCCGCGUGAGUGAUGAAGGUCUUCGGAUCGUAAAACUCUGUUAUUAGGGAAGAACAAAUGUGUAAGUAACUAUGCACGUCUUGACGGUACCUAAUCAGAAAGCCACGGCUAACUACGUG
rnacentral:rRNA from 1 species